rnacentral:lncRNA from 10 species
GUCUUCAGUCUUGGGCACUGUCUCUCACUUUUGCCCCCCUCUUUUAUCUUUCGUGCUGGGAAGUGAGCUGCCAUGCUGUGAACAGCCAGCCCUGUGAAGAGGACCACAGCCAGUAAGGAACCGAAGCCUGGCAACAACCAUGUGAGUGAGCUUGGAAGAGGAUUCCUCCUGCAGUUGUGCCUUCCGGUGAGAUAGCAGCACUGGACCACAAUCUCAUGAGAGAUCUUGAGCCAGAGGCACACAGCUAAGCCACGCCCAGAUUCCUGACCCACAGGAACUGUGAGAUGACAACUGCUGUUUUAAGGUCCAAAUAAACUGAAAAUGGACUCAGUAACAGGAAGCAAUAAAGACCAC